CCCAACAACAGGUUGUCCGAUUCAUCUGAAAAUUUCAGGGCAGAUAGAUCUUGACCUGAUAAUCAAUUUUACUUCAUGUCAGAUUUGCUCUAAAUUUGGUUUUUGAGUUAAAAGCCAAAAACUGAAUUUUACCCCUAUGUUCUAUUUUUAGCUGUGGUGGCCAUCUUGGUUGGUUUGCCGGGUCACGCCACACAUUUUUUAAACUAGAUACCCCCAAUUGUGAUUGUGGCCAAGUUUGGUUUAAUUUGGCCCAGUAGUUUCAGAGGAGAAGAUUUUUGUAAAAGAUUACUAAGAUUUACGAAAAAUGGUUAAAAAUUGACUAUAAAGGGCAAUAACUCCUAAAGGGGUCAACUGACCAUUUCUGUCAUGUUGACUUAUUUGUAAAUCUUACUUUGCUGAACAUUAUUGCUGUUUACAGUUUAUC
rnacentral:lncRNA from 1 species